UGUGACCUCAAAUCAGGUAGGACUACCCGCUGAACUUAAGCAUAUCAAUAAGCGGAGGAAAAGAAACUAACAAGGAUUCCCCUAGUAACUGCGAGUGAAGCGGGAAAAGCUCAAAUUUAAAAUCUGGCGGUCUUUUGGCUGUCCGAGUUGUAAUCUAGAGAAGUGUUAUCCGCGCUGGACCGUGUACAAGUCUCCUGGAAUGGAGCAUCAUAGAGGGUGAGAAUCCCGUCUUUGACAUGGACUGCCAGGGCUUUGUGAUGCGCUCUCAAAGAGUCGAGUUGUUUGGGAAUGCAGCUCAAAAUGGGUGGUAAAUUCCAUCUAAAGCUAAAUAUUGGCGAGAGACCGAUAGCGAACAAGUACCGUGAGGGAAAGAUGAAAAGAACUUUGGAAAGAGAGUUAAACAGUACGUGAAAUUGCUGAAAGGGAAACGCUUGAAGUCAGUCACGUUGUCCAGGGAUCAACCUUGCUUUUGCUUGGUGCACUUUCUGGUUCGACGGGUCAGCAUCAAUUUCGAUCGUUGGAAAAAGGCCAAGGGAAUGUGGCAUCUUUGGAUGUGUUAUAGCCCUUUGUCACAUACAAUGGUUGGGAUUGAGGAACUCAGCACGCCGCAAGGCCGGGUUUUAAACCACGUACGUGCUUAGGAUGCUGGCAAUAUGGCUUUAAUCGACCCGUCUUGAAACACGGACCAAGGAGUCUAACAUGCCUGCGAGUGUUUGGGUGGAAAACCCGAGCGCGUAAUGAAAGUGAAAGGUUGAGAUCCCUGUCGUGGGGAGCAUCGACGCCCGGACCAGACCUUUUGUGACGGUUCCGCGGUAGAGCAUGUAUGUUGGGACCCGAAAGAUGGUGAACUAUGCCUGAAUAGGGUGAAUCCAGAGGAAACUCUGGUGGAGGCUCGUAGCGAUUCUGACGUGCAAAUCGAUCGUCAAAUUUGGGUAUAGGGGCGAA
rnacentral:rRNA from 1 species